rnacentral:rRNA from 1 species
UUAAGUGACUAAGCGUACACGGUGGAUGCCUGGGCAGUCAGAGGCGAUGAAGGACGUACUAACUUGCGAUAAGCGCAGAUAAGGCAGUAAGAGCCGUUUGAGUCUGCGAUUUCCGAAUGGGGAAACCCAACUGCAUAAGCAGUUACUGUUAACUGAAUACAUAGGUUAACAGAGCAAACCGGGGGAACUGAAACAUCUAAGUACCCCGAGGAGAAGAAAUCAACCGAGAUUCCGGUAGUAGCGGCGAGCGAACCUGGAUUAGCCCUUAAGCACUCGGUGAAGUAGGUGAACAAGCUGGAAAGCUUGGCGAUACAGGGUGAUAGCCCCGUAACCGACGCUUCAUCGAGCGUGAAAUCGAGUAGGGCGGGACACGUGAUAUCCUGUCUGAAUAUGGGGGGACCAUCCUCCAAGGCUAAAUACUCCUGACUGACCGAUAGUGAACCAGUACCGUGAGGGAAAGGCGAAAAGAACCCCUGUGAGGGGAGUGAAAUAGAACCUGAAACCGUGUACGUACAAGCAGUAGGAGCACCUUCGUGGUGUGACUGCGUACCUUUUGUAUAAUGGGUCAGCGACUUAUAUUCAGUGGCAAGGUUAACCGUAUAGGGGAGCCGUAGCGAAAGCGAGUCUUAACUGGGCGCUCAGUCUCUGGAUAUAGACCCGAAACCGGGUGAUCUAGCCAUGGGCAGGUUGAAGGUUGAGUAACAUCAACUGGAGGACCGAACCGACUAAUGUUGAAAAAUUAGCGGAUGACUUGUGGCUAGGGGUGAAAGGCCAAUCAAACUCGGAGAUAGCUGGUUCUCCCCGAAAGCUAUUUAGGUAGCGCCUCGGACGAAUACUACUGGGGGUAGAGCACUGUUAAGGCUAGGGGGUCAUCCCGACUUACCAACCCUUUGCAAACUCCGAAUACCAGUAAGUACUAUCCGGGAGACACACGGCGGGUGCUAACGUCCGUCGUGGAGAGGGAAACAACCCAGACCGCCAGCUAAGGUCCCAAAGUAUUGCUAAGUGGGAAACGAUGUGGGAAGGCUCAGACAGCUAGGAUGUUGGCUUAGAAGCAGCCAUCAUUUAAAGAAAGCGUAAUAGCUCACUAGUCGAGUCGGCCUGCGCGGAAGAUGUAACGGGGCUAAGCAAUACACCGAAGCUGCGGCAAUGUCUUUUAGACAUUGGGUAGGGGAGCGUUCUGUAAGCCGUUGAAGG